ensembl:lncRNA
AACGACUGUAAUAGCAGAUGUUGAAGUUGUUAAAUCGUUAACUAACCAUUUGUAUGGAACAAUCGGUUAAGAGUGGAGAGUGAUAUCCCGGAUUGUGUGUGACGCCCGUGUUGUUUUGUCUCCUUUGGAAAGGGUGAGUGAGCGCUGAUGCACGGAGCUGAGUGGAGAGUGAUAUCCCGGAUUGUGUGUGACGCCCGUGUUGUUUUGUCUCCUUUGGAAAGAAUAAACCUCUAGUACUCGACUCCUGUGUGUGCCUCACUGGAAGAUACAAGACACAACGCAGAAAGACAUUGGUUACAAAUGGUGCCGUGACCCGGAUUCUUCAGAUCAGCCGCUGCAGAUCGCCGAGGUUAUGCUGUGAGCAAGUAAGCGUAUCGUACAGCAAGCAGGAAGGAUCCGUUUAUUUGUGGCUGUGUUUU